ensembl:lncRNA
CCUGCCCCCUCUCACCCACUCUCCACAGCGGCUCUUCCAAACCUUUUCAUCCUUCCUCCAACCUUCCACAAGAGCCUUCUGCCCACACCUCAGCAGAGACCCUCAUCCCCCAUUACAGAAAAAGGAGGCUAUUCGCUGUUCAGACGACGGGCAUCUUCGGAGCUGAGCCGAUUCAGGUAAAGAGGAGGAGACGGUCUGCUCACGCCAGGCGCCGGAAGUGCUGCGUCGGAGACGCCGAGAACCACUUCUUUUACUUGCGGGUGGGAAUCCGCCGUCUGAGCCACCCUCCCGUGUCGAGCGGAACGAAGCCAGGACUUCCUUGUCACACUAUGUGUACACUAAGGCUACGUGUGCACGGUGUUUGCUGGUGACACAGACAAAGGGCUUCUGAACCCGGGAACGAGGAGGUUCAGGUGGGCGGUGGAGUGAAGGGGGAAAAGAAAAGGGAGGGAGGGGGAGCAAGGCCGGGAGGACCGUGUCCAUCCGUGGUGAGCCGAAGGCUUGGGCCUCGUCUUCUGGCGGUGCGAUCCCCAGACGCCUCCCGGAUCGGCAGGUGCUGGGGGAUGGGUACGGGCUGCCUUCUCAGAGUAUUUAAAUAUUCACAUCAUGCACAACUGUGGCAGGUUCAUACACCGCAACAUAAUGGAAAAGACUUUCUACACUGAAUCAGGAGUAGGGUCCAAAGCAGAGCUGGAAAAUAAAUAUCUUGCAUAUAUCUCAAACUCUAUUCUUCAAACAAAACCUUACACCUCAUCAAAGAAGUCAGAGAAGGCCGGAGGGAAGUCCGAGGCCUUCCUCUACAACUGUCUCAUCUCUGAGGCUGA